UCCUUUUCAGAUGAAUACAGAACUUUUGAAA
rnacentral:piRNA from 1 species